GACGAACGCUGGCGGCGUGCUUAACACAUGCAAGUCGAACGGAAAGGCCCUGCUUUUGUGGGGUGCUCGAGUGGCGAACGGGUGAGUAACACGUGAGUAACCUGCCCUUGACUUUGGGAUAACUUCAGGAAACUGGGGCUAAUACCGGAUAGGAGCUCCUGCUGCAUGGUGGGGGUUGGAAAGUUUCGGCGGUUUGGGAUGGUUUCGCGGCUUAUCAGCUUGUUGGUGGGGUAGUGGCUUACCAAGGCUUUGACGGGUAGCCGGCCUGAGAGGGUGACCGGGCACAUGGGUACUGAGGUAGGGACCAGACGCGUACGUGAGGCAGCGGUGGGGAAUAUUGCACAGUGAGCGGAAGCCUGAUGCAACAGCGUCGCGUGCGGAAUGACGGCCUUCGGGUUGUAAACCGCUUUCGCCUGUGACAAAGCGUGAGUGACGGUAAUGAGUAAAGAAGCACCGGCUAACUACGUG
rnacentral:rRNA from 1 species